AUUGGACGCUGGCGGCAUGCUUUACACAUGCAAGUCGAACGGCAGCGCGGGCUUCGGCCUGGCGGCGAGUGGCGAACGGGUGAGUAAUAUAUCGGAACGUACCCAAGAGUGGGGGAUAACGUAGCGAAAGUUACGCUAAUACCGCAUACGAUCUAAGGAUGAAAGCAGGGGACCUUCGGGCCUUGUGCUCCUGGAGCGGCCGAUAUCUGAUUAGCUAGUUGGUGAGGUAAAGGCCUACCAAGGCGACGAUCAGUAGCAGGUCUGAGAGGAUGAUCUGCCACACUGGAACUGAGACACGGUCCAGACUCCUACGGGAGGCAGCAGUGGGGAAUUUUGGACAAUGGGCGAAAGCCUGAUCCAGCCAUUCCGCGUGAGUGAAGAAGGCCUUCGGGUUGUAAAGCUCUUUCGGCAGGGAAGAAACGGUUCUGAAUAAUACUUGGAGCUAAUGACGGUACCUGAAGAAGAAGCACCGGCUAACUACGUGCCAGCAGCCGCCGUAACAC
rnacentral:rRNA from 1 species